rnacentral:lncRNA from 1 species
UUUGUGAUGGAAUGAUCAACGGCGUCCGCGAUUUCAACGAGCAGGAUGUGGAUGAGAAGAAGAAGUAUUAUUCGCGAGAUACAACGAGAAGCGUGAGAUAUCACAGCAGUUAUGAUCUGUUCAUGUCGAGGACUGCUAGCUGGAAGGAUACGUUAACCAUUGCGUUUAAUUCAGGCUCUAAUCUUCUCGAUCAUCAGGAACUGCCCCCUAUUUGCAGGUUUGAUUUUCUUCUUAAUUUUUUCUAAUUGUUUUUUGUCUUUGUGAAUUUACUUUAUCUUGCUCAUGCAGUAGCAUUUCCUAAGUUUGCUUGCGUCGUAGUCUCUGCGACAGGAAAUUUAUAGAGAAGAUCAGUUCCGUUGAAAAUGUUAAAUGUAUUUUUUUUUACUUGAUGUUAAAUGUGUUGAUAAGAACUGAGAAUGUAUGAAAACACACGCGAAUAAGUCAAUAAUUUCUACGAAUAAAUUAAUGUAACGCAUAGAUAGACAUUCUCAUAUGAAUUGGAAUCUCAAAGGGGUUGAGAUUUUCACUAUAUUAACUGAAUAUCGCUAUUCGUGAGCUAUAUUAGUUUAUUCGUAGAUUUUAAUUUAUUAAUUUAUUCAUUAUUUUUAUUUUUCAUAUAUAUCACACAUGGGUAGUAUAAAGUAGUGAAGGUUCGCUAUGUACAUUUGAUUUUCGAUUCAAUUUUUUAUUAAUAUCAAAUUAAAUCGAAUUUAUAUUUGAUUUUGAAAAAACUCAAAUUGAACCGAAUAAACCAAAAAAAAUUGAAUCGAAACCAAAAAAUCGAAAUAAAACAAUAAAAAAAAUAGAAAAAAUCGAAAAAUUAAANACGUAGGUUAAAGUUAAUAAAAUUAAGUGUGUAUCUAUAUAUAUAUAUAUAUAUAUUAAUAUUAUUAUUAUUAUACAAAUAUAAUUCGAUUUUCGUUUUUUCGAUUUAAAAAAUAAAAUCGAAUCAAACCAAACCAAAAACCAAACUUUAUUUUAAUAUUUCAGUUUGGACUGAUUCAUUUAUUCAAUUUCCAAAAUUUUGCUCAUCCCUAGUGAAGAUACACACAAAUACUCACUUUUAGUAAAUCUAUUACUCCAUCUAUUACUAUUAUUGAAUGAGUCAAAAUAUCAAAUGGGUUCUAGGUUUGGAACCGAGUUUAGACUUGGGUUAAUAUUUAUGAUCCAAAAUUCAUACUUCUCCGAAAAAAUCAUAUAUGUAUAGGUGCCAAUCUUUCCAUGUUCAUGCAUGUCGUUGGCGUUUACUGACUAUACUAACUACAUACAUCUACACAAUUCGUAGGGAUUCAACAGUUGAAUACUCAAAACAUGUCGAAAUUUUGGGAAAUAUUCUGUUGGGGGUUUUGUCUGAAGCUCUGGGACUAGAAGCAGAGUUCCUGAGAACAAACAUGGAGUGUUCAAAGGGGCAUCGUCUCCACUGCCAUUACUACCCACCAUGCCCUGAGCCUGAGCUCGCAAUCGGCACGCCGAAGCAUUCUGAUGCAGGAUUCCUCACAGUUCUUCUGCAAAACCAACUUCUUAGCGGCCUGCAGGUUUUGUAUGAAGGUCGAUGGAUCGACAUUCAACCUGUUCAAGGAGCUUUAGUCGUAAACAUUGGUGAUCUUCUUCAGGUAUUUAUAAAAAUCAAUCCAAACUUAUGUUUUCUCACGACGUAGAGGGUUUUUUAGGACACUAACUUAGACUGAUUUGGAAAUUAUGAUAUAUACAAAAUUUCGAGCUUGCAAAAGUAGAGCACUAAUUAAUAAGUAAUGCAUCUGCUGGACAAUUCUCAUCCCAUUUUAAUUAGUAUAUAUUAUACUUUUGCAAGCUCAUUCUAGUUUCGAAUAAGCCCGAGAAACUCUUAAAAUAGGUCGAGAAUUGUCUUGCAAAUGCGUUAAGCUCGAAAAUUAUUAUCUUAACGUCCAACUUAAUUUAAGUUAGUGUCUUAAAAAACCUCUAACUCGUUUUUAUCAUUCUACCCUAUCACUUAAAUUUAGAGUUCAUUUUUUAAUUUAUUACCUAAUAAUUGAUUAUUCCAUUAGAGUAUAUUGCAAAUACAAUAAAGUUUUAGUAACAGUUUUUAAUUAUGGUUCGUCAUAUUACAAUAAUUUUUAUUUUUAUAAUAAAUAUUAUUAAAAAUAUACAUUUAAUAGUGAGACACGAAAAAAUAUGAGAUAGAUGAUCCAACACUAUUAGAAAGCUAGCGCCCGAUUGGCAAUAUCAAUUAACGACGGAUUUAACUACCGUCGCUAAUCUUGCCGUCUUGGCGACGCAUUAGCGACAGUUUAUUUAAUCAAUUGUUUGUAUUUGUUUUGGAUCAGUUGGUGUCAAAUGGAAAAUUCAGAAGCAAUGAGCAUAGAGCGAUAGCAAAUCGCAACGGACCAAGAAUUUCAGUGUCAUGUUUUUUCUCUGGACCUAUAAACAACAUGGCCAAGAUUUAUGGCCCUAUUGAGGAAUUGAUUACAAAAGAAAAUCCAGCAGUUUACAAAGCGGUUGCGAUGCGUGAUUAUCUAAUGAAUUUCUUGAAUACUUCAUUAGAGGAUUAUCGAGCUCUUGAUUAUUACAAGGUGUGAAGAUGGUAAAUGUAAUGGAUGAAGCAUAUAUCAGUGCUCAAGCUUAUGUAGUUGUACAAUGCUUUAAUUACUUGCUAGUUUAUAUGGUCUCUCAAUAAUUACAAUACUCUUAUGGAUAACGAAUGAGAGUGCUCUCCUAUCAAAGGGAAAAAAUAGUGUAAACAAAGUUAAAGAAUAAGGAGACGUUUACAUUAGAGGCUGAGCCUUGAUAGAUAAAAAUAGUAAAAUUAAUCUCUUGUUUAUUUAGAUGGAUUGGAACUUUGGGAUAUCCCGAGCCCUUUGAUUAUUUUUAUCAUUUAAGCUAGUUUUGUUUGAUUUUUAUCUCAUUAAAAGGGUAGGAUUCUUAAAGAUAAAAAUAUUGAAUCAUGUAUCUUAUCAAUCAUGUAAAAUAAACGCUCCAUUAUAUUUUGCGUGAUUGUUUUACUAUUAUCAGCUCUUUGAUCGGGCCGCAUAUCUCGUUCCAAAUUGGUGCAAAUUUUAUAAAUUAUAAUAAUGUAAAACAAUCUAGUAUUUGUGAAACAAAUAAACACGUCCAAAAUUUUCCAUGACAAAAAAAUGGUUUAGUGCAAUUUUUUAAAACAAUGUCCUAGUUUCUCUUUAAAUUUUGUGCCGAUAUUGAAAAAAGAGUACCUAAUUUUUCAGUGGUUCGAAAAUUUUGGAUAUGUUUAUCUUGCUACAAAUAGAAAUUGUAAACAUAAUUUAAGCACGGAUCUAGAACUUCAUGAUUUUCACAUUCAAGUGAAUAGAAAUACUAAUCUUGAUAAGCCAUAGCAAUCGAUGAUGAAGAAAUUGGUUUCUCUCCCCUGACCGUUUCCUUAGCACAGAACCGUCCGUGAGGCGAUAAAGAAUAUAAUUCUGUGAAUUCUUUUAUCGGUGGUGAGAUGAUCAGUUUCUGAUGUAGAUAUAUUUAUACACGUUCUAUCAACGUGGUAGUUAUCAGAAACCCUAAUUGACCAAACUUUUGGAUAUGUUUAUCUUGCUACAAAUAGAAAUAAGAUAAUAAGAUGUUGCUAUUGCAAUAAUUUAUAAUUAACUAUAAAAAAAGAAGAGAACCAUAAUCAAGUCAUCACGGUACAUUAAAAAUAAAUAAAUAAAUAAAAAUCAUAGGCUUUAAAUAAAUAAAAAUCAUAGGCUUACAUGAUAGAAAUAUUUUAGUACUUGCUACUUUCGACAAUGAAAGAGAAACAAUUUUCAACCAAUCUUAUCUGUCCCACAUUUUCCCAGAAACUCAUCUGCUAAAUGAAUUGAGCUUAAUUUAGACACGUGAUGAACUCCUUAAAGCAAAAUAAACAUGCUAAAUGAAUUGUGGCAUACAUUAAAGUCCAUAUCCUCAAGCAUACAUCACCAAUCAAAUGUGAUAAGGUUGAGAUAAAAUAAACCAUGCAAAUAAUUAAAAAAUAAUAACCUCGUUCAAACGUUUGAUUUGAGUGGUAAACUGUAAUGUAAUUGAUAAAAUAAUUAUUUUUUUUUGUAAAAACAUAAACUUUCGCUCUCUCUCUCUUUCUUCCAACAGCCUCUGUCGCCACUGCUCCCUCAGAUCCAUCGCCUGUCUCCUCUCGCGUGCUAGCCGCCGCCUCUGCUAUUUUUCCGUACACGAUUCAUAAUUUGGGUUUGAAAUCGUGACAUCGUGUUUUGUUGGAACCGUGGCUAAGGUGAUUUGUUGGAACCGUGUUUUGUUCUAAUCUUAUCUUUUUUUUUUUUUGAGAGAGUGGAGCUGUGAGGUUUGAACCCUGACCUCAUUGUUCGUAGACAGAAGUUCGCACCGCUUUGUGUCCCUUGGGAACAAUCUAAUCUCAUAUCUCCCCAACAUUUGCCUGUCAACAACUCAUCACAUUAGCUUAAUUAAACAAACUGAAAUCAAUUUAGACAUGUGAUAAACAUAAACUCCUAUAGCUAUAAGCCAAAAAAAAUGUCAACUUAUUUGUGCAUAUAUUAAUUGUUAAGUUCAUAUUCGCGAGCAUCUUCAAUCAGGUGUGAUAAGAUUGGUACAAAGUAAACUAUGUAAUUAAUUAAUCUAAUUAAUUAUGCCCCAGCUGUCCCCACACCUCAUCCUGUCUUCUAGUCUGUAUAAGAGCAUCCGCAAUGGGGGUUCCUUGAUAGCCUACUUGAUAGUGUUUGUGUUAUUGAGUAGGUAGUGCUGCAUUGGGGUUCCUUGAUAGCCUACUUGAUAAUAUUAGUUUUGAUUUUAUGUUUUCAUUUAAAUUUAAUUGCAUAAUUUAAAUAACAUAUUUUUGUAAUAGUUAAAUACGCCAUUAAACAUAAAAUUUAAAAUUACCUAAAACAUAAAAAAAAUUACAUAAAAAUUUAAAAUUACCUAAAACAUAAUUCAAAAUUACAUAAAAAUUUAAAAACACCUAAAACAUAAAAUAAAAAUUCAAAAUUCGAAUAAAAUUCGAAUUUUCCAAUUUUUCUUUUUUUUUUUAAUUGGGCGCGUGCAUUGCACGCGCCAUCCCUUCCCCCCUUCGAGCAUACCCGAUAACUCGAGAACUCCUCGAGGAGCUCCCCCCGCAUCGCGCUCUUCGACGCCCUCCCUCUCCUCGAGUACCCACUGGAGUACCCGCGUUGCGGGUGCUCUAAAAUAUGGAGUUUGUAGGAAAAAAAAAAAAUCCAAAAACAGCAGUAAAACCAAAAAGAAAUGGCAGAUUCAUCAGUUAUUAAUCAGCAAUACGAUCGAUUGCAAAUGCUCAAAGCUUUCGACGAAACAAAAGCCGGCGUCAAAGGCCUCCACGAUUCAGGUCUGCUCAAACUCCCCCAAAUCUUCGUGAGGCCAUCGGAGGAGCUGAUUGCAGAUCUAAAACACGAAAACGCUCAUCAAUUUCAAGUUCCUGUGAUCGAUCUGAGUGGCGUCGACGACGGCGGUAGAAGAAAGCAGAUCGUUGAAGAAGUGAGAAGCGCUGCUGAAACAUGGGGGUUUUUCCAAGUGGUGAACCACGGGAUUCCUCGAUCUGUUUGUGAUGGAAUGAUCGACGGCGUCCGCGAUUUCAACGAGCAGGAUGUGGAUCAGAAGAAGAAGUAUUAUACGCGAGAUAUGAAGAGAAGUGUGAGAUAUCACAGCUGCAGUUUUGAUCUGUUCAGGUCGAGAACUGCUACCUGGAAGGAUACGUUAACCAUUUCGCUUAAUUCUGGCUCUAAUCUUUUCGAUCAUCACGAACUGCCCCCUGUUUGCAGGUUUGAUUUUCUUCUUU